rnacentral:rRNA from 1 species
CCUACGGGAGGCUGCAGUGGGGAAUAUUGGACAAUGGGGGCAACCCUGAUCCAGCAAUGCCGCGUGGGCGAUGAAGGCCUUCGGGUUGUAAAGCCCUUUUGCACGCGACGAUGAUGACGGUAGCGUGAGAAGAAGCCCCGGCUAACUUCGUGCCAGCAGCCGCGGUAAUACGAAGGGGGCGAGCGUUGUUCGGAAUUACUGGGCGUAAAGGGCGCGCAGGCGGCCUCUCGAAGUCAGAUGUGAAAGCCCCGGGCUUAACCUGGGAACUGCGUUUGAUACGGAUGGGCUAGAGUUCGGGAGAGGAGAGUGGAAUUCCCAGUGUAGAGGUGAAAUUCGUAGAUAUUGGGAAGAACACCGGUGGCGAAGGCGGCUCUCUGGACCGAGACUGACGCUGAGGCGCGAAAGCGUGGGGAGCAAACAGGAUUAGAUACCCUUGUAGU